CAGAGGUGACACUCACGGUGCCACACGACAAACGUGAAUAGUUUCCGUCUUUUUCUUUUGGGUCAGCGUCGAAUUCGGGGUUCAAAACCCCUCCUUUUCUCUCCCCCGCAUCCGCCCUCAUGCUCCGCCGUCUCCUUCGCGUUAACGGCGCUCCGGCGCCCUCACGCCUGGCGCGCUACACCUCUACGGACGCGUACUUGAACCGCCACAUCGGCCCCACACGUAAGGAGACCGUCGAGAUGCUGAAGACGGUCGGCAAGGAGAGCCUCGCGGAGCUCAUGACCACAGUGCUGCCGAGCGAUAUCCUUCGCACUCCGCUGAACAACUUCAAGUGUUUGAGUGAGACAGAGGCUCUGUCCUACCUGAAGAGCCUCGGCGCACAAAACAAAGUUCUGAAGAGCAUGAUAGGCCAGGGCUACUACGAGUGCAUCAUCCCGAGCACGAUCAUGCGGAACGUGCUGGAGAACCCCAUGUGGUACACCCCGUACACCCCGUUCCAGUCAGAAAUCGCUCAGGGCCGCCUUGAGUCGCUCCUCAACUUUCAGACAAUGGUGACGGACCUGACAAAGAUGGACAUUUCCAACGCGUCGUUGCUCGACCAGGCGACGGCUGCGGGGGAGUGUAUGUACCUCGCCCUGAAUCAUCACCGUCACAAGCGCAUGAAGUUCUUUGUGUCGAAAGGCGUCUUUCUGUCAUCGAUCGAGAUGAUCCGCACGCGUGCGCACCCGCUGGGAGCACAGGUGAUCGUCGGUGAUGUUCAGUCCCUCGACCUCGAUGAUGCCGAGCUGAGUGGUAUUUUUGUGCAGACCCCAGACGCAAAGGGCGAGUUGCACGACUUCACCACCCUCUUUGCCCGUGCCAAGGCGAAUGGCGUCGUCUGCUGCGCAGGCGUCGACCUGAUGGCGAGCUGCCUCGUCAAGACGGCUGGCGAGAUGGGCGCGGACGUUGUGGUGGGCUGCGCGCAGCGCUUUGGCACCCCGCUGGGCUACGGUGGACCACACGCCGCUUUUAUGGCCAUCACGGACAACUUGAAACGGCUGUCCCCGGGUCGUAUAGUUGGCAUCAGCAAGGACAACGCCGGCGAUCCGGCCAUUCGCAUGGCAUUGCAGACGCGCGAGCAACACAUCAAGCGCGAGCGGGCCACCUCGAACAUCUGCACGGCGCAGGCACUGCUCGCGAACAUGAAUGCCUUCUACGCGAUCUACCACGGCCCGGAGGGGCUAAAGCAGCUCGCGAGGGAGAUUCACCAGAAGGCGAAGCUGUUCGCCGUCGGCAUGGAGUCGCUCGGCUUUUCCCCGGUGAACACCACCUACUUUGACACGCUCUCCUUCUCAAUGGAGGCGAGCUCCAUGACGGCGGCUGACUACGCCCAGCGGUGCGUCGAGAGGGGCAUCAACAUUUUUGUGGAUGGCUCAACGAACGAGGUGUCCAUCUCCGUGGACGAAGCCACGACGGAGAACCACAUCGCCGCGCUGCUGCAGGCUGCGGGCAUGCCAACGCCGAAGAUCGACGCGCUGACGCGCGUCGCCGAUACCAUCUGCGUCAUCCCUGCAGCGCUUCUGCGGAAGUCCAAGUUCAUGCAAAGCAGCGUCUUCAACAGCCACAAGAGCGAAACGGAGCUGAUGCGUUACAUUCAGCGCCUGCAGCGCAAGGACUAUGGACUGACGCACGGUAUGAUCCCGCUUGGGUCGUGCACCAUGAAGCUGAACUCCGCCGCUGCGAUGCGGGCACUGAGCUGGCCGGAGUACAACGCACUGCACCCCUAUGCUCCCGAGGAUCAGGCGCGCGGGUACCACGCGUUGCUGGUGGACCUGAAGCAGAAGCUGUGCGACAUCACAGGUAUGGCUGCCUGCUCGAUACAACCGAACAGCGGUGCCCAGGGCGAGUACGCCGGCCUGCGGAUCAUUCGUGCCUACCACGAAUCGCGCGGCGAGGGCCACCGCGAUGUCUGCUUCAUUCCAACAAGCGCGCACGGCACCAACCCGGCGUCGGCGGUGCUGGCGGGGCUGAAAGUGGUUACAGUGAAAUGCCUCGACGACGGGAGUGUGGACAUGGUGGAUCUGGAGGCCAAGUGCGUGAAGCACGCCAAGGACCUGGCCUGCCUCAUGAUUACCUACCCUAGCACCUACGGCCUCUACGACAAGGACAUUCGCAAGAUCACGUCUGUGGUGCACGAGCACGGCGGUCAGUGCUACAUCGACGGCGCCAACCUGAACGCCCUAGUUGGGUACACCGGGCCUGGCUUCAUCGGCGGUGAUGUGUGCCACAUCAACAUGCACAAGACUUUCUCCAUCCCACAUGGUGGCGGCGGUCCGGGCUUAGGACCGAUCACUGUGCGGCAGCACCUUGCCCCGUUCCUUCCGAACAGCACCUAUGGCCCGGCCGUAGGUGGGUCGCAGGCAUUUGGGCAGGUAUCGCAGGCGGGCAACGGCUCUGCUUCGAUUGCCACCAUCUCGUACGCCCUCAUCAUGAUGUUGGGCUCCCACGGGCUCAAGACGUGCACGGAGUACGCGGUACUGAAUGCCAACUACCUCAAGAAGCGGCUUGAGGAGCACUACACCAUCUGCUUCCUCGGCCACAGCGAGUUCUGCGCCCAUGAGUUUAUUCUCGACAUUCGCCCGUUUAAGAAAACCGCCAACAUCGAUGCGGAGGAUGUGGCGAAGCGACUCAUGGACUACGGCUUCCACGCGCCGACGCUGGCGUUUCCCGUGGCUGGCACGCUGAUGAUCGAGCCUACGGAGUGCGAGUCGAAGCGGGAGCUGGAUCGCCUCGCGGAUGCUCUCAUUUCCAUCCGUCGCGAGAUCGCCGCGGUGGAGCGUGGCGAUCAGCCAAAGAACAACAACGUCCUCACAAACGCGCCACACACGGCCAAGUGCGUGACCGCGGAUGAGUGGAACCGUCCGUACUCGCGGCAGCUCGCGGCCUACCCCACUCGGCACCAGUACCGCGAAAAGUUCUGGCCAAGUGUUGGUCGGGUCGACAACACCUACGGAGAUCUCAACUUGAUGUGCUCGUGCGCCCCGUUAGAGUUCUACCACUAGAGACACCACCGCGUCGUUUGCGGAAGUUUGGAGGACAAGAAUGCGCACCACCGGCACAGCGACCCAUUCAGGGCUUCCCUGACGCUCCUUUUUCGUCGUCGCUGUGAAGUUUCUGAAGGUUCGGCAACGGAUAUAUGCGUGUGCGCAUCGGUGUGAGUGGGUAACGGCGGAUCGAUAUAUGUCUGUCCGUGACAGCCAUAUGGUCCAUUUUCUCUUUUCCCUUUUGGAGAACAGCUUCUCUCCGCAAUAUCGCCUCAUGUUCUUUCCGUUGUUUCUUUUUUUUUCAAGCCCUCUUCAUCCCACCCGCCCUCCUGCCACUCACCACCCCCUCCACCCUUGUCAUUCAUGUGCACCUCCAGUUAGCAUUUCUUGGUACGUGUAUAUAAUCUUACCCUUUCUCUCUUUUUCGGCUCCUGGGUCUUGCCGCCUUAAUUGUGGUUGCUUUGCUUUGUCUCUCCAUCUUUAUCGCCAUCGCCUACACUUCUUCCUUCUGGCUGCGUGUGUGUGCGUGUUCGUGGGCUGCUUCUCCCCAUCUGCACCUCUGCACACAUGGCCGCACGAAUCGGACCAUCGACUGGAUUUGAACGCCUUACAUUCCCCCCCCCCCUCCCCCACAAGCACAAGAAAAAAAAACACGACUAUUUUCUAGGUCUCCCUGUUUUCUUGAUCUCUUUCUGUCUGCGCACAUAACGUCAACGGCGCUGGUGUGCUUAUAUUUGUGCACAGAUUAGAGAGCAAUCUUGACGCGUCGUGUUUCUGUGCGUCUGGGAAAAGGUUUUGUUUGCUUCAUUUUUUUUCAUUUUCUUCGUUUUGAAAACAAGUGAGCACGUAAGCCUUAUGACAGC
rnacentral:misc_RNA from 1 species